AGCGAACGCUGGCGGCAGGCCUAACACAUGCAAGUCGAACGACCCCUUCGGGGUUAGUGGCGGACGGGUGAGUAACACGUGGGAACGUGCCUUUAGGUUCGGAAUAACUCAGGGAAACUUGUGCUAAUACCGAAUGUGCCCUUCGGGGGAAAGAUUUAUCGCCUUUAGAGCGGCCCGCGUCUGAUUAGCUAGUUGGUGAGGUAAUGGCUCACCAAGGCUACGAUCAGUAGCUGGUCUGCGAGGAUGACCAGCCACAUUGGGACUGAGACACGGCCCAGACUCCUACGGGAGGCAGCAGUGGGGAAUCUUGCGCAAUGGGCGAAAGCCUGACGCAGCCAUGCCGCGUGGAUGAUGAAGGUCUUAGGAUUGUAAAAUCCUUUCACCGGUGAAGAUAAUGACUGUCGCCGGAGAAGAAGCCCCGGCUAACUUCGUGCCAGCCGCCGCCGUAAGAC
rnacentral:rRNA from 1 species